rnacentral:lncRNA from 1 species
CUUACAUACUGCAGAUGCUAUCUAUAAACUCCCCCUUCAAUUUUAAGUGAAGUGUUUAUCAGGUGGGAAAAUCUCUCCAAAAAGGAUAAAAAUAUCAGAGACAGCCAGACAAUAUUUGGUUCACUAGAGAAAAAUAUCAGUUUCUUACAGGGAGUAGAGGAAGCAGCAGAAACUGUACAUAACCAGAAAACAAAAGCAUAAUUGUUAAUGUUAUUUGAAAUCCACGAAUGCCUUAUUUGGUGCUCUCACCUGAGAUGGAAGACCAUCAGCUUUUUCUAAAUGAGCGUGCUGAUAUUUUCCAGUAAUUCUCAGUUUUAAAGCAGUGACAGGAUUUCAAAGGAAGAAAGACAAAAACAAUUUUCUGUUGAGAAAUACAGUCCAUAAUUCAGAAGACACUGAGGAUGCAGAAAAAGAGUGACAACAGGCCAAGUGUAAAUUGUCAGGAAUGUAAAGGCUCUUAGUGCAAAUGAGAAGUAGGCUUCCAAGAGCUUUUCAUCUGAUGAUUGUGAAGUGAUUCAUGCUGCACUGCUACUGCUGCCAUUAAGGAUGAGAAGACAGAAUGAACUGUGGGAGAUUGACAGUUUUGUAAAUCAGGACAUAAAUACUGAGUUGCAGGCGCCUGAAAACUCAGGACUCAUAAAGGAGCAGCAGAAAGUAAAGGCUGUGACACUGAAUUGGGAGUCUUGAAAAUGAGUUCUGUUUUCGGCUCUGCAGGAACUGGACUGUAACACAUUGUAUGACCCCACAUGGAGGAAGAAAAAGGAG